rnacentral:precursor_RNA from 12 species
CUUUCCCGCCAUGUACAGCCUGGGUACUCAUUCCCUCCUACGGCUCUCUGCAGAGGUACCAGAUGCAGAGGGAGGAGGUUGGGAUGAGUACUUAUGGCAGUGAUGCACCUUAAUGC